UACAGGGGGUGCAAACGUUGCUCGGAAUCAUUGGGCGUAAAGCGCACGUAGGCGGUCUGUUAUGUCGGAUGUGAAAGCCCUUGGCUCAACUGAGGAAGUGCAUCCGAAACUGGCAGGCUAGAGUACUAAAGAGGAUCGCGGAAUUCCCGGUGUAGAGGUGAAAUUCGUAGAUAUCGGGAGGAACACCGGUGGCGAAGGCGGCGAUCUGGGUAGAUACUGACGCUGAGGUGCGAAAGCGUGGGGAGCAAACAGG
rnacentral:rRNA from 1 species